GGUCAGUGAUGUGAUGUAAAAGGUCUGAUGUCCAGCUCUUCCUCCAGUCUCCUCGUCCCUCCCAGCCGGCCCUAUUAAUUUUCCCAGCAUGCUCUAGUUGUGCAGACCUGGUUUGAUGUGGCGGCUGAUAUUAUGGAUGUUUCUGCUGCACAGGAGUCUUUUUUUAGAGAAUCCAUUGAGACUCUGACAGAAGCAUCCCACAGAAACAUGACACACAGGAGGGCUGGACUGAAGGAGGCUGGUCAGCUGAUCUCAAAAAUCAUUCUGAGACC
ensembl:scaRNA SCARNA6 small Cajal body-specific RNA 6